AAUAGAUACCCUGGUAGUCCACGCCGUAAACGAUGAGUGCUAAGUGUUAGAGGGUUUCCGCCCUUUAGUGCUGCAGCUAACGCAUUAAGCACUCCGCCUGGGGAGUACGGCCGCAAGGCUGAAACUCAAAGGAAUUGACGGGGGCCCGCACAAGCGGUGGAGCAUGUGGUUUAAUUCGAAGCAACGCGAAGAACCUUACCAGGUCUUGACAUCCUCUGACACUCCUAGAGAUAGGACGUUCCCCUUCGGGGGACAGAGUGACAGGUGGUGCAUGGUUGUCGUCAGCUCGUGUCGUGAGAUGUUGGGUUAAGUCCCGCAACGAGCGCAACCCUUGAUCUUAGUUGCCAGCAUUCAGUUGGGCACUCUAAGGUGACUGCCGGUGACAAACCGGAGGAAGGUGGGGAUGACGUCAAAUCAUCAUGCCCCUUAUGACCUGGGCUACACACGUGCUACAAUGGAUGGUACAAAGGGCUGCAAGACCGCGAGGUUUAGCCAAUCCCAUAAAACCAUUCUCAGUUCGGAUUGC
rnacentral:rRNA from 1 species